rnacentral:lncRNA from 1 species
GGGAGGAAGUAAAUUGCUUUCCCUUGCUUCUCAAGUUGAGUACAAUAUGAAAUUGGGAUGUCUUUGUAGCACCGCUUAUUUAAUUUAUUUGCUAACUUGGUUUUACUGAGGCUGUAGUAAGAUGUCAGAGUGAUGUUUUGCUGUACUACAUAUCUGAUGUGAUUUUUUUUUUUUUUUUCCCUUCAGCAAAUUUGACAGGCCAUGCAGAGAAAGUUGGCAUUGAAAACUUUGAGCUCCUGAAAGUUCUUGGAACAGGGGAUAUCAUGCAAAACUGGAGGUCACAUGUUCUUGCACAGCACUUCUGAAGAUGCACUUUUUUGAAAAAAAGGAAACAUAUGGUUGAAAAUUUGUGACAAUUUAAUGUAGUUUGUGAAAACCUGAGUUAAGACAUGAUCUUGAUAAUUAUGUUAAGUUUUCAGAGUGUGUUUGGGGAAAAAAAAAAGCGAUUUUAAUACAUUAUUAAAUAAGGUGCUCCAUUUUUUAAUGAAUCCAUUUUAGGGUUCCUGUUGGCUCCAUAACUCUGUCCUAGUCAGAUCCUAGUAUUUUUUAAGACGGAUGAUGUUCCUUCUUGUAUUGUGAGUUUUAGCACAAUGUUGGAGAUUUUUAGGAUGUUGUAAGAUUACUAAUUGUAAUAGACAAAAAAAACUUUGUUUCCCCUUGGCUAAAGGGACACAUAUCCCCCUAUACAGACCAAAAAUAACAGCUUUUAUUCUUUUUGGGUGUUUGUGCUUUUUCUUUUUGGUCAGUAUUAGGUCAGAUGCAUUGUUGAGUAGAUUUAUAUAAUUAUGAAUGUGGACUAUCAUCAAGGUCUGCAGGAGUUUUAUGCUAGUUUAAUGAUAUUAAAUUUUUGGACAUUGUUAGCCAUUAAUGGCUGGCAGUGAGACUGUAGUUCACUAAGACAUCACUGAAAAGUGCAAAGGAUUUUGAUUUUCACUUUUAGCUGUCAGAUAGAUUCUUUUAGAAAUUAAUUAAACGGUUAAAACCCGAGAGGAUAUUUUUCUGUUUCUGAAGUAAAUUUUUUAAAGUUUAAAUUCAUGCUAAAAAAUUGAAACCUUGCUGUUAAAUUUCAAUAGUUAGAGGUAGAUACAAGGAAGCUUUAAUUUUCAUAGAUAAAUGUAGCAUAUUCCUAGGUAGA